AUUGAACGCUGGCGGCAUGCUUUACACAUGCCAGUCGAACGGCAGCGGGGAGGAGCUUGCUUCUCUGCCGGCGAGUGGCGAACGGGUGAGUAAUACAUCGGAACGUGUCGAGAAGAGGGGGAUAACCACCCGAAAGGGUGGCUAAUACCGCAUAAAUUCUGAGGAAGAAAGCUGGGGACCUGGGAAUAGGCCUAGCGCUUUUUGAGCGGCCGAUGUCGGAUUAGCUAGUUGGUGAGGUAAAGGCUCACCAAGGCGAAGAUCUGUAGCGGGUCUGAGAGGAUGAUCCGCCACACUGGGACUGAGACACGGCCCAGACUCCUACGGGAGGCAGCAGUGGGGAAUUUUGGACAAUGGGGGCAACCCUGAUCCAGCCAUGCCGCGUGUAUGAAGAAGGCCUUAGGGUUGUAAAGUACUUUUGUUAGGGAAGAAAAGUCAGCUGUGAAUAAUGGCUGAUACUGACGGUACCUAAAGAAUAAGCACCGGCUAACUACGUG
rnacentral:rRNA from 1 species